rnacentral:lncRNA from 10 species
CUCUUGCCUUCUGCCAUGUAAGAUAUGACUGUGCUCCUCCUUCACCUUCUGCCAUGAUUGUGAGGCCUCCACAGCCAUGUGGAACUCCAUGAGUAUGACUAUGUGCUGAGUCCUGUGAGUCCUCCUACUGAAUCAUCAAAGCCAGGGGGGAAGCUGUUUUUCCCUCUUUGGGGUCUCAGAGAGAUUGGUGGCAAGGACUCCUGGGAAGAGAAAAGCUGAAGGACACUCUGGCAAGAGGUACCACCUCUCACUGGCUGCCCAAGCAAGAUUCUAUGGCUUGGAAUAAUUCUCAGCGACUCACUCAUCAAAGGGCAUCUAUCUAGAAGCCCUGCUCCUUCAGGGACAUCUGAGGUUGAUGAGCUGAUCCAAUAAGCCAUCAGAGCUGGAAUAGUAGUAGUUAACAAUGGCUCUCUGCACUCUUUUUAAAUAACUUUGCUUUUCAGGCCAAGGUGAGAGCCUCGUGGGAAUUUCACAAAUUUUAUAGAAGCAGAGGAGUGCUAUUUGAGCAAGGGGCGGAUAACACCUACAAUCCACUCAGGAUUUCCAAGCAUAGCCGGAUGCAGAAGUACUCAUACUUCACUACAGAAUCACCUGGGGAGCUUUUAACCUUCUGAUUCUAGUGUUUCCCUCUGGCAGAUGGAGACAGAAACUUGACUGGGCUCAGGAAUAUGUGUUUUUAAAAUUCUCCAGAAGAUUUUAAUGCAGUACAAGUAAGAAGACAGGACUGCAAUUCACAAGAACAGUAUAUCCUGGUGAUUCCUCAGAACAGAACAGACUCAAAAAAAAAAAAAA